CCUACGGGUGGCUGCAGUGGGGGAUAUUGCACAAUGGAGGAAACUCUGAUGCAGCGACGCCGCGUGAGGGAAGACGGUCUUCGGAUUGUAAACCUCUGUCUUUGGGGAAGAAAAUGACGGUACCCAAAGAGGAAGCUCCGACAAACUACGUGCCAGCAGCCGCGGUAAUACGUAGGGAGUGAGCGUUGUCCGUAUUUACGGGGUGUAAGGGGUGCGUAGGAGGGCGAGAAAGUUGAAUGUUAAAUCUACCGGCUUAACUGUGAACUGCGUUCAAAACUUCUUGUCUUGAGUGCUGUAGAGGCAGGCGGAAUUCCUAGUGUAGCGGUGAAAUGCGUAGAUAUUAGGAGGAACACCAGUGGCGAAGGCGGCCUGCUGGGCUUUAACUGACGCUGAGGCUCGAAAGCGUGGGGAGCAAACAGGAUUAGAUACCCCUGUAGUC
rnacentral:rRNA from 1 species